GUUCCCGUAUCUAUAUUUGUCUAUGACAUCUAUGUUGUCGCGGGAUAGUAAUCGUUAAAACGCGGGCGUGUAACGCUCGUUACACAGAAUCGGGGAAAAUGCAUGAAAAUGCCGCUGCUGGGAGCAACAGGUUAGAAUGUAGUCACGACGGGCGGCGCAAUGAAGUUGGUUGAUAGUGACUGCGACUUUUCGAUUUCGUCACCCGCGCUUGAGAUUCGUCCGUUACAUUAAUCUACGCCCUAAGCACGGUCGCGUCGUCAUCGCCGAGCGGAUCGUGGCUCUUCGUGCAACGUAAUUUCGGCGUCGCGUCGUUUUCUCGCCGCGGUAUAAUAAAACCCGUGUCGCGUACGAUUAAUAUCGGGAGUGCCGCGCGAUCGUGGCAUUGUGAUGAUUAGUAUAUACGCGCGAUCGCAGUUAAAUAUACCUUCGCGAGUGAAUAUUGUGUGAGUGCUCCAUGAAGGAGCAGUAAUGGCGGGACAGAGGUCUGAGGGGAGGAGGAGGCCUGGGAGGCGUCGGGCGACGGCGGAGCAACCGUGAGGAUGGUACGACAGGAUGGUCCUUCACGGAAUGAGAGAGGUUUCAUGACUUUUGCGUUCGAAUAAGGCUAAGAUUUACGUACACACAACUCCGCCGCUGCGCAUCGUAU